rnacentral:rRNA from 1 species
UUGAACGCUGGCGGCAGGGCCUAACACAUGCAAGUCGAGCGGUAGAGAGGUGCUUGCAUCUCUUGAGAGCGGCGGACGGGUGAGUAAUGCCUAGGAAUCUGCCUAGUGGUGGGGGAUAACGUUCGGAAACGGACGCUAAUACCGCAUACGUCCUACGGGAGAAAGCGGGGGAUCUUCGGACCUCGCGCCAUUAGAUGAGCCUAGGUCGGAUUAGCUAGUUGGUGAGGUAAUGGCUCACCAAGCCGACGAUCUGUAGCUGGUCUGAGAGGACGACCAGCCACACUGGGACUGAGACACGGCCCAGACUCCUACGGGAGGCAGCAGUGGGGAAUUUUGGACAAUGGGCGCAAGCCUGAUCCAGCAAUGCCGCGUGCAGGAUGAAGGCCUUCGGGUUGUAAACUGCUUUUGUACGGAACGAAACGGUGAGCUCUAAUACAGUUUGCUAAUGACGGUACCGUAAGAAUAAGCACCGGCUAACUACGUG